GUGAACGCUGGCGGUAGGCCUAACACCUGCCAGUCGAACGGCAGCACCGUAAGAGCUUGCUCUUACGGGUGGCGAGUGGCGGACGGGUGAGGAAUACAUCGGAAUCUACUUUUUCGUGGGGGAUAAAGUAGGGAAACUUACGCUAAUACCGCAUACGACCUACGGGUGAAAGCAGGGGAUCUUCGGACCUUGCGCGAUUGAAUGAGCCGAUGUCGGAUUAGCUAGUUGGCGGGGUAAAGGCCCACCAAGGCGACGAUCCGUAGCUGGUCUGAGAGGAUGAUCAGCCACACUGGAACUGAGACACGGUCCAGACUCCUACGGGAGGCAGCAGUGGGGAAUAUUGGACAAUGGGCGCAAGCCUGAUCCAGCCAUACCGCGUGGGUGAAGAAGGCCUUCGGGUUGUAAAGCCCUUUUGUUGGGAAAGAAAAGCAGCAGGUUAAUACCCCGCUGUUCUGACGGUACCCAAAGAAUAAGCACCGGCUAACUUCGUG
rnacentral:rRNA from 1 species